GACGGAGGAUGCAAGCGUUAUCCGGAAUGAUUGGGCGUAAAGCGUCCGCAGGUGGCAGUUCAAGUCUGCUGUCAAAGACCGGGGCUUAACUUCGGAAAGGCAGUGGAAACUGAACAGCUAGAGUAUGGUAGGGGCAGAGGGAAUUCCUGGUGUAGCGGUGAAAUGCGCAGAUAUCAGGAAGAACACCCGUGGCUAAGGCGGCUCUCUAGUACGGUACUGACGCUGAGACGCGAAAGCGUGGGGAGCGAACAGG
rnacentral:rRNA from 1 species